AGUGAACGCUGGCGGUAGGCCUAACACAUGCAAGUCGAACGGCAGCACAGUAAGAGCUUGCUCUUACGGGUGGCGAGUGGCGGACGGGUGAGGAAUACAUCGGAAUCUACUUUUUCGUGGGGGAUAACGUAGGGAAACUUACGCUAAUACCGCAUACGACCUACGGGUGAAAGCAGGGGAUCUUCGGACCUUGCGCGAUUGAAUGAGCCGAUGUCGGAUUAGCUAGUUGGCGGGGUAAAGGCCCACCAAGGCGACGAUCCGUAGCUGGUCUGAGAGGAUGAUCAGCCACACGGGAACUGAGACACGGUCCAGACUCCUACGGGAGGCAGCAGUGGGGAAUAUUGGACAAUGGGCGCAAGCCUGAUCCAGCCAUACUGCGUGGGUGAAGAAGGCCUUCGGGUUGUAAAGCCCUUUUGUUGGGAAAGAAAAGCAGCAGGUUAAUACCCCGCUGUUCUGACGGUACCCAAAGAAUAAGCACCGGCUAACUUCGUG
rnacentral:rRNA from 1 species